AGUCGAACGCGAAAGUCCCCUUCGGGGGAUAAGUAGAGUGGCGUCCGGGUGAGUAACACGUAGGUAAUCUACCUUCGGGUGGGGAAUAACGCAGGGAAACUUGCGCUAAUACCGCAUAAUGCAGCGGCACCACAUGGUGACAGUUGUUAAAGCGGGGGAUUUUCGAACCUCGCGCCUGAAGAGGAGCCUGCGGCAGAUUAGCUAGUUGGUAGGGUAAUGGCUUACCAAGGCGACGAUCUGUAGCCGGCCUGAGAGGGCGGUCGGCCACACUGACACUGACAUACGGGUCAGACUCCUACGGGAGGCAGCAGUCGGGAAUUUUGGGCAAUGGGCGAAAGCCUGACCCAGCAACGCCGCGUGAAGGAUGAAAUCCCUCGGGAUGUAAACUUCGCAAGAAUGGGAAGAAUUAGCGAGUACUAAUACUGCUCGUGAUGACGGUACCAUUUGUAAGCUCCGGCUAACUCCGUGCCAGCAGCCGCGGUAAUACGGGGGGAGCAAGCGUUGUUCGGAUUUACUGGGCGUAAAGGGCGCGUAGGCGGUCAGCACAAGUCAGUUGUGAAAUCUCCGGGCUUAACUCGGAAAGGUCAACUGAUACUGUGCGACUAGAGUGCAGAAGGGGCAACUGGAAUUCUCGGUGUAGCGGUGAAAUGCGUAGAUAUCGAGAGGAACACCUGCGGCGAAGGCGGGUUGCUGGGCUGACACUGACGCUGAUGCGCGAAAGCCAGGGGAGCGAACGGGAUUAGAUACCCCGGUAGUCCUGGCCUUAAACGAUGGAUGCUUGGUGUCUGGAGUUUUAUAGUCUCC
rnacentral:rRNA from 1 species